rnacentral:rRNA from 1 species
CCAAUAGCGUAUAUUAGUGUUGUUGCGGUUAAAAAGCUCGUAGUUGAAUUUCGGGAUUGGGAUAUAUCGGUCAUGCCUUUAGGGACAUGAAUUGGUGUGUGGUCAAUUCUCACCUUCUGGUGAAUCGGGAUGCUCUUGGGUGUUUCGACGAACUAGGACAUUUACUUUGAAAAAAUUAGAGUGUUUAAAGCGGGCAUUUUUGCUUGAAUACAUUAGCAUGGAAUAAUAAAAUAGGACGGCAUGGUUCUAUUUUGUUGGUUUCUAGGACCACCGUAAUGAUUAAUAGGGAUAGUUGGGGGCAUUAGUAUUCAAUUGUCAGAGGUGAAAUUCUUGGAUUUAUUGAAGACUAACUACUGCGAAAGCAUUUGCCAAGGAUGUUUUCAUUAAUCAAGAACGAAAGUUAGGGGAUCGAAGACGAUCAGAUACCGUCGUAGUCUUAACCAUAAACUAUGCCGACUAGGAAUCAGACGAUGUUAAUUUUUUAAUGACUCGUUUGGCACCUUACG